GGAUACGCUCUGGAAACGGAGAACAAAUCCCGAUGUACAGGAAGGAGGCAUCUUCUUUCUGUGAAACAUCCUUUAGGGGAUGGGGCGCGGAUGGACCUGCGGUGCAUUAGUUGGUUGGCGGGGUAAAGGCCCACCAAGACGAUGAUGCAUAGCCGGUCUGAGAGGGCGGACGGCCACAUUGGGACUGAGACACGGCCCAGACUCCUGCGGGAGGCAGCAGUAGGGAAUUUUCGUCAAUGGGCGCAAGCCUGAACGAGCGAUGCCGCGUGAGUGAAGAAGGCCUUCGGGUCGUAAAGCUCUGUUGCGGGGGAAAAAAGGCAGCAUCAGGAAAUGGGUGCUGACUGAUGGUGCCCCGCCAGAAAGUCACGGCUAACUACGUGCCAGCAGCCGCGGUAAUACGUAGGUGGCGAGCGUUAUCCGGAAUGAUUGGGCGUAAAGGGUGCGCAGGCGGUCCUGCAAGUCUGGAGUGAAACGCAUGAGCUCAACUCAUGCAUGGCUUUGGAAACUGGAGGACUGGAGAGCAGGAGAGGGCGGUGGAACUCCAUGUGUAGCGGUAAAAUGCGUAGAUAUAUGGAAGAACACCAGUGGCGAAGGCGGCCGCCUGGCCUGUUGCUGACGCUGAGGCACGAAAGCGUGGGGAGCAAAUAGGAUUAGAUACCCUAGUAGUCCACGCCGUAAACG
rnacentral:rRNA from 1 species